UUCCCUUUAUAUUAUCAUUUCCUCAACCCUAAUCUCAUUCUUACACUUCAACAAAACCCUAGCCACCAUCUUAACCAAAAUCCAAUAAAAAUCAUUCUUUCCAUCCCUCUCAUUCCUGGGUUUGAUCGAAUCAAUUUGAGAUCCGUCUUGUCUCAGUCGUAGUAGACACAAUCCUCUAUAAUUUCUAAGCUUCAGAAUCGAAUUUGACUCGUCGAUUGUUUGUGCUUCGGAGGCGAACCAUGAUUAGAUUGCUUGCCUGGUUAUCACGUGGAUUAGCAAGUUGGUUAUGAUCUGAGAGUCUGGUGAUCUCCGCAGUUACUAUUCCUCGGAGGUUCCAUUUAUUUUUGAUAAACUGUAAAACUGUUUUAUUCUUAGACCGCAGUAGUAAUUAGACGUCUUUAUUAUUAUUAUAUAUUUUGUCGGAUUGGUUCGACUGGUUA